UGCUUCAGUCUUUUUGUGCUCUGCAGAGGAGGAGAUGGUGGCUUCUAGAUUUAAUCAUGAGCUGCGUGUUAAAUAUAUUGCUGGCUGGUUGCUCAAUAACCAAAAUAAUAUUAACGAACUAUGUAUUGUGCCUUUUGGGGCUUUUUCCUGAAAGUCCAGGCUGAUUUAAUGUGUUUAUGGCGGAUUGUUGAAGCACGUGGCUCCUGAAGCUGCACAUCUGAGGAAUGGAAGUGCUCUGGUCCUGGUUGUGUUAGCAGGCCUGAACAGCCCUGGUGUGUUUGCCUGCAAAAGUCAUGGAGUUCAUGGUGGACCCACCCGCUGCUUCCGUCCAUCGCUGGACCUCAGAUCUCAUCAGGCAAG